rnacentral:tRNA from 1 species
GGGCAUUUGGUCUAGUGGUAUGAUUCUUGCUUAGGUGCAAGAGGUCCCGAGUUCAAUUCUCGGAAUGCCCC